rnacentral:rRNA from 1 species
UACGAAGGGUGCAAACGUUGCUCGGAAUUAUUGGGCGUAAAGCGCACGUAGGCGGCUUAGUAAGUUGGAUGUGAAAUCCCUCGGCUUAACCAAGGAGGUGCAUCCAAAACUACUGAGCUUGAGUACUAAAGAGGAUCGCGGAAUUCCCGGUGUAGAGGUGAAAUUCGUAGAUAUCGGGAGGAACACCAGUGGCGAAGGCGGCGAUCUGGACAGGUACUGACACUCAACUACGAAAGCGUGGGGAGCAAACAGG